UGGGGAAUAUUGCACAAUGGGCGCAAGCCUGAUGCAGCCAUGCCGCGUGUAUGAAGAAGGCCUUCGGGUUGUAAAGUACUUUCAGUCGGGAGGAAGGUGGUAAGGUUAAUAACCUUAUCAAUUGACGUUACCGACAGAAGAAGCACCGGCUAACUCCGUGCCAGCAGCCGCGGUAAUACGGAGGGUGCAAGCGUUAAUCGGAAUUACUGGGCGUAAAGCGCACGCAGGCGGUUGAUUGAGUCAGAUGUGAAAUCCCCGGGCUUAACCCGGGGAUUGCAUCUGAUACUGGUCAGCUAGAGUCUUGUAGAGGGGGGUAGAAUUCCAUGUGUAGCGGUGAAAUGCGUAGAGGUGUGGAGGAAUACCGGUGGCGAAGGCGGCCCCCUGGACAAAUACUGACGCUCAAGUACGAAAGCGUGGGGAGCAAACAGG
rnacentral:rRNA from 1 species